AGUAAUGUAUCGGAACGUGCCCAGUCGUGGGGGAUAACUGCUCGAAAGAGCAGCUAAUACCGCAUACGACCUGAGGGUGAAAGCGGGGGAUCGCAAGACCUCGCGCGAUUGGAGCGGCCGAUAUCAGAUUAGGUAGUUGGUGAGGUAAAGGCUCACCAAGCCGACGAUCCGUAGCUGGUCUGAGAGGACGACCAGCCACACUGGGACUGAGACACGGCCCAG
rnacentral:rRNA from 1 species